rnacentral:rRNA from 1 species
GCCUGAUGCAGCGACGCCGCGUGAGGGAUGACGGCCUUCGGGUUGUAAACCUCUUUCAAUAGGGACGAAGCGUAAGUGACGGUACCUAUAGAAGAAGCACCGGCCAACUACGUGCCAGCAGCCGCGGUAAUACGUAGGGUGCGAGCGUUGUCCGGAAUUACUGGGCGUAAAGAGCUCGUAGGUGGUUUGUCGCGUUGUUCGUGAAAACUCACAGCUUAACUGUGGGCGUGCGGGCGAUACGGGCAGACUGGAGUACUGCAGGGGAGACUGGAAUUCCUGGUGUAGCGGUGGAAUGCGCAGAUAUCAGGAGGAACACCGGUGGCGAAGGCGGGUCUCUGGGCAGUAACUGACGCUGAGGAGCGAAAGCGUGGGGAGCGAACAGGAUUAGAUACCCUGGUAGUCCACGCCGUAAACGGUGGGUACUAGGUGUGGGUUUCCUUCCUUGGGAUCCGUGCCGUAGCUAACGCAUUAAGUACCCCGCCUGGGGAGUACGGCCGCAAGGCUAAAACUCAAAGGAAUUGACGGGGGCCCGCACAAGCGGCGGAGCAUGUGGAUUAAUUCGAUGCAACGCGAAGAACCUUACCUGGGUUUGACAUGCACAGGACGCCGGCAGAGAUGUCGGUUCCCUUGUGGCCUG